rnacentral:rRNA from 1 species
CAGCAGCCGCGGGAAUACGUAGGGUGCGAGCGUUAAUCGGAAUUACUGGGCGUAAAGCGGGCGCAGACGGUUACUUAAGCAGGAUGUGAAAUCCCCGGGCUCAACCUGGGAACUGCGUUCUGAACUGGGUGACUAGAGUGUGUCAGAGGGAGGUAGAAUUCCACGUGUAGCAGUGAAAUGCGUAGAGAUGUGGAGGAAUACCGAUGGCGAAGGCAGCCCCCUGGGCCAAUACUGACGCUCAUGCACGAAAGCGUGGGGAGCAAACAGGAUUAGAUACCCCCGUAGUCCCUGUCUCUUAUAC